rnacentral:rRNA from 1 species
AAGGUAAUAUUGGUCAAUGGACGCAAGUCUGAACCAGCUAUGCCGCGUGAAGGAUUAAGGUCCUCUGGAUUGUAAACUUCUUUUAUCUGGGACGAAAAAAGGUCUUUCUAGAUCACUUGACGGUACCAGAUGAAUAAGCACCGGCUAACUCCGUGCCAGCAGCCGCGGUAAUACGGAGGGUGCAAGCGUUAUCCGGAUUCACUGGGUUUAAAGGGUGCGUAGGCGGGCAGGUAAGUCAGUGGUGAAAUCCUGGAGCUCAACUCCAGAACUGCCAUUGAUACUAUCUGUCUUGAAUAUUGUGGAGGUAAGCGGAAUAUGUCAUGUAGCGGUGAAAUGCUUAGAUAUGACAUAGAACACCCAUUGCGAAGGCAGCUUACUACGCAUAUAUUGACGCUGAGGCACGAAAGCGUGGGGAUCAAACAGGAUUAUGAUACCC